rnacentral:rRNA from 1 species
GUGUCAGCAGCCGCGGUAAUACGAACCGUCCAAACGUUAUUCGGAAUCACUGGGCUUAAAGAGUCUGUAGGCGGCUGAGAAAGUAGGGUGUGAAAUCCCACGGCUUAACCGUGGAACUGCGCCCUAAACUACUCAGCUUGAGGGAGCUAGAGGUAAGCGGAACUGAUGGUGGAGCGGUGAAAUGCGUUGAUAUCAUCAGGAACACCGGAGGCGAAGGCGGCUUACUGGGGCUUUUCUGACGCUGAGAGACGAAAGCUAGGGUAGCGAACGGGAUUAGAUACCCCCGUAGUCC